AUUGAACGCUGGCGGCAGGCCUAACACAUGCACGUCGAACGAGUGGCGGACGGGUGAGUAAUGUCUGGGAAACUGGCUGAUGGAGGGGGAUAACUACUGGAAACGGUAGCUAAUACCGCAUACCAUCAGAUGUGCCCAGAUGGGAUUAGCUUGUGGGUGGGGUAAAGGCUCACCAAGGCGACGAUCCCUAGCUGGUCGGCGAGGAUGACCAGCCACACUGGGACUGAGACAUGGUCCAGACGCCUACGGGAGGCAGCAGUGGGGAAUAUUGCACAAUGGGCGCAAGCCUGAUGCAGCCAUGCCGCGUGAAUGAAGAAGGCCUUCGGGUUGUAAAGUACUUUUAUCGGGGAGGCGUUACCCGCAGAAGAAGCACCGGCUAACUCCGUGCCAGCAGCCGCGGUAAUAC
rnacentral:rRNA from 1 species